CCUACGGGAUGCUGCAGUAGGGAAUUUUGCGCAAUGGGCGAAAGCCUGACGCAGCAACGCCGCGUGAUUGAUUAAGCCCUUCGGGGUGUAAAGAUCUGUCAGUGGGGACGAAACUUGACGGUACCCACAGAGGAAGCACCGGCUAACUCCGUGCCAGGAGCCGCGGUAAUACGGAGGGUGCAAGCGUUGUCCGGAAUCAUUGGGCGUAAAUAGUUCGUAGGUGGUGUAUUAAGUCUGGUGUUAAAUGCAGAAGCUCAACUUCUGGUCGGCACUGGAUACUGGUAGGCUUGAAUGCGAUAGAGGUAAGGGGAAGUCCUGGUGUAGCAGUGAAAUGCGUAGAUAUCAGGAGGAACAUCGGUUGCGUAAGCGCUUUGCUGGGCCGUAAUUGACACUGAGGAACGAAAGCCGGGGUAGCAAAUGGGAUUAGAUACCCUGGUAGUC
rnacentral:rRNA from 1 species